GACGAACGCUGGCGGCGUGCUUAACACAUGCAAGUCGAACGGGAGUAUCGAAGAAGCUUGCUUUUAAGAUUCUUUAGUGGCGGACGGGUGAGUAACGCGUGAGGAGCUGUCCUAUGCAGGGGGACAACAGUUGGAAACGACUGCUAAUACCCCAUAAGCCGAGAAGUAAAAGGAUUUAUCCGGCAAAGGAGGUACUCGCGUCCUAUCAGCUAGUAGGUUGGGUAACGGCCGACCUAGGCGAAGACGGGUAGCCGGCCUGAGAGGGCGAACGGCCACACUGGAACUGAGAUACGGUCCAGACUCCUACGGGAGGCAGCAGUGGGGAAUAUUGGGCAAUGGGGGAAACCCUGACCCAGCGACGCCGCGUGGGUGAAGAAAUCCUUCGGGAUGUAAAGCCCUGUUGUAUGGGAAGAGCAGAAGACGGUACCAUACGAGGAAGCCCCGGCAAACUACGUGCCAGCCGCCGCAGUAA
rnacentral:rRNA from 1 species